rnacentral:rRNA from 1 species
AGAAUCAACGCUGGCGGCGUGCCUAACACAUGCAAGUCGAACGAGAAAGGGUAGCAAUACCUGAGUAAAGUGGCGCGCGGGUGAGUAACACGUGACUAACCUACCUUUUAGUGGGGGAUAACCUAGGGAAACCUGGGCUAAUACCGCAUAAUACCUACGGGUCAAAGCAGCAAUGCGCUGAAAGAGGGGGUCGCGGUCGAUUAGUUAGUUGGCAGGGUAAUGGCCUACCAAGACUGUGAUCGAUAUCCGGCCUGAGAGGGCGCACGGACACACUGGAACUGAAACACGGUCCAGACUCCUACGGGAGGCAGCAGUGGGAAUUUUGCGCAAUGGGGGAAACCCUGACGCAGCAACGCCGCGUGGAGGAUGAAGUCCCUUGGGACGUAAACUCCUUUCGAUCGGGACGAUAAUGACGGUACCGGAAGAAGAAGCCCCGGCUAACUUCGCGCCAGCAGCCGC